UACAGUAGCUGAGUUACUGUGCUGUUGUGAUCAUUUCCAUCUGACUGGGGACUUCCUCCAAUCAACGUCUUAUUGUAGGACUCUUCCCCUUAUCUCCUGUGAUGCGCCUCUAGAUUAUUGCCUCUGGAAUCUAUCUACUUUAGAUUUACAUCACUAUAUGGCUAUUGGAUUAGCUGGCUCUCUCUCAACCAGUGAAAUGGCCUCUCCCUCUGAAGAGUCUCUGUCCUUGGCUUUUCUUUGGUAGCUAACUCAGCCGUCAAUCGAGAAGAGCCCCUGACAUCCUCACACAGGACAAGGAAGGAACUGGAGCCAAGCAGUCUCAUUCCUCACCCCCACCAUGCCCAAAGCGGAGCAGGAACUUAACUCACAGGAUGGAAACGUAUUAUGUGCUUAGACUACAGAGAAGAUGUGAAAUCUUGGAGCAAUAUGAAGUGGGAUUUCUGCUGGUCGGGAUGCAGGAAACAAAGGGGAACCUGCAACUCUUUAAAAAAUGUUGUUAACAAAGAUAAUAUGUUGAUAAGAUAAUAUGUUGAAACCCCCAUCACACUAAGUUCUGAGGAGAACUCAUGCGGUGCUAUGGAGCUUUGAAUUCCACGCUCCUGAAAGUAACAAAAACAG